UAAAUUAGACCAUAUGCACCAGGUUUCUUCAUAGAGCCAAUCCUUUAGGCGCUUCCAAAUGUCUUCAAAGCUGAAGGUGCCAUUCUUUGGAAAGAAUAGAGAGUACAAAUGCAGACUUCAUCAAUGGCAUUGGUUUGGUGAUCAUCUGUAGUGCUUCAAAAAUGGCAUUAAUUUGGUGAUCAUCGGCAGUGCAUGAUCCCAAUACCGGGUUAAUGGCUAAUUGUUAAACAUGAAGGACCAAAUGAACAAGUGAUUUUGAUGUUCAU
rnacentral:lncRNA from 1 species